rnacentral:rRNA from 1 species
AGCGAACGCUGGCGGCAGGCUUAACACAUGCAAGUCGAGCGGGCAUAGCAAUAUGUCAGCGGCAGACGGGUGAGUAACGCGUGGGAACGUACCUUUUGGUUCGGAACAACUGAGGGAAACUUCAGCUAAUACCGGAUAAGCCCUUACGGGGAAAGAUUUAUCGCCGAAAGAUCAGCCCGCGUCUGAUUAGCUAGUUGGUGAGGUAAUGGCUCACCAAGGCGACGAUCAGUAGCUGGUCUGAGAGGAUGAUCAGCCACAUUGGGACUGAGACACGGCCCAAACUCCUACGGGAGGCAGCAGUGGGGAAUAUUGGACAAUGGGCGCAAGCCUGAUCCAGCCAUGCCGCGUGAGUGAUGAAGGCCCUAGGGUUGUAAAGCUCUUUUGUGCGGGAAGAUAAUGACGGUACCGCAAGAAUAAGCCCCGGCUAACUUCGUGCCAGCCGCCGCCGUAAAAC